UAGGGAAUCUUCCGCAAUGGACGAAAGUCUGACGGAGCAACGCCGCGUGAGUGAAGAAGGAUUUCGGUUCGUAAAACUCUGUUGUUAGGGAAGAAAAAAUGUAUAGUAACUAUAUACAAAAGAGACGGUACCUAACCAGAAAGCCACGGCUAACUACGUGCCAGCAGCCGCGGUAAUACGUAGGUGGCAAGCGUUGUCCGGAAUUAUUGGGCGUAAAGCGAGCGCAGGCGGUUAGAAAAGUCUGAAGUGAAGGGCAGUGGCUCAACCAUGGUAGGCUUUGGAAACUGUUUAACUUGAGUGCAGGAGGGGAGAGUGGAAUUCCAUGUGUAGCGGUGAAAGGCGUAGAUAUAUGGAGGAACACCGGUGGCGAAGGCGGCUCUCUGGUCUGUAACUGACGCUGAGGCUCGAAAGCGUGGGGAGCGAACAGG
rnacentral:rRNA from 1 species